AAGCUUCUGGAGACACACAACAAAUGCCAUAACUUGACCACACGGAAGGAUUCAGCUUUUCCUACCAAACAAGAGAAGUUUUCUGAAUCCUUUGGUAACUUUAAGAGAGCUUUCAUCAGUUAUCCAUUUUCUUCUUGUGUUAUUUGCCUCGAGGUUCAUUUCAUUAUUUGGAGGAGGCGUAGAGACUUCAUUAGUCAGGAUCUCUUGGCAUUCUUUAGGCUCCACAUUUAUGUUACUGUCCUCAUGCAUUUUGGAAGCAGAGGAAGUCAGAGGAUUGACGGGCGAUGGAUUACCAUUCACCUGAGGACUUACUCCAACAACAUCAUCAACAGCUGCUGAGCUUUCAACUUCAGAUAGUACAAACCUUACCUUGUUAGAACUUUGUUUCUUUUCAUCUUUCAAAUGUUCAGCAGAAAGCAAAGGUAUAUUCUUCUUCUCAUUUAAUGAUAUGCUAUGUACCUCCUCCGUGUUCUUAGCAUCAACAGUAUCAUUAGAGAACUGUGGUCUUAGUUCAGAUCCGCGUUCAUUUGACAUCAACAUUAUGUCAUCCUUACCAUCUUUUACCUUCUGAGAAUCAAAUGCAGAAUAAUCUUUUAAUUGAACAUUUGUAUCCGAAGGCUUGACCUGAUAACUUUUUGAACCUGAAGGCUUGAUCUUACGUGGACCUUUCUUACUCUCGUUUCCAGCUGACUUCUGUAAUGGAGCAAUCACUUUAUUCUCCUUUUGACUUGCUUUCCUACUUGGAGUAGUUUUUGACUCAAUUGAUCGAUCCUUAGAUGUCCUUGUAGCUGAAAGGCGAUCUAUAGUGGAACUCUUACAAACUGGUUUAUGUAAUCUAUUGGUUGCCUCAGUUGGAGCCUCAGGUUUUGGCUUCUCAACUUUUGAAGAUGUGGCUGACUCUUUUGCAUUCUUCCUUGUGGUUGGUUUGGUAAAACCAGUGGUACCACUUCUUUCUGCAAUUCUCUUUUGACGCUGCAAUAGUGAUUGUUCCAAUCUCUUUCUAGUCUCUUCGUCCUGUAACAUAGAGAAAUUUAAAGAAAAAUAAUAGUAACAAUGAUAGAUGAAAAGAAUAGGAAAACCAUCACUUGGAAGAGGGGAUUUAAGUAUUUCUUUUCCUUCUCCUUUUUAAGAUAUGAUAUGUUCAUAUCAAGCAGCUAAAUGUCAUGAAAUUUCUACCCAUACUAGAAAUUGAAUGUUCAUCUUCCUCUCAAACGACACAUUUUUUUAAAAAGAUUUCACCAUAAACAUAACCGAUCCAGCAAAUUGAGUGAAAUUGAAUUAGACUGAUAAAAUAGAGAUACAAGGUGGACAAAAGUAGAUUUUUAUUAGAAAAAAGGUUUCACCAUAAACAUAACCGAUCCAGCAAAUUGAGUGAACAUGAAUUAGACUGAAAAAAUAGAGAUACAAGGUGGACAAAAGUAGAUUUUUAUUAGAUGUCCAUGCACUCCAGUAUAGAGACUGUCCGUACCUUCUCAGCUUUGCUCUUUUGCAACGUUAUUCUAUUACUUGCAUAAGGAGAUUUCUUGAUUCAUGAAGAUAUCUCAGAUUUGGUCCUUCCAAGAGAUCCAACUGAAGCUUUAGAUUUUGGUUGUUUGCUAACUCCCUUUCGCUCAAGGUCCUUGCCGAUCUUUUUGGUUUCUUCACCAUUUUGUGGAAGCUUCAUAUCAGUUGGUCUGACAUCAGUGUGAAUUUUAAGAGUUUCAGACAAGAAGACAUCAUUUUCGUAAUCUAUUUCAGGAUUCCAAGAAGCUGAAACUUGCUCAGCAGUUGAAGCCCUUUUAAGCACCAUGAAAAGGUCAUUUGGUUCACAUGUAUCAGAAGCAUCAAGCUUAUCUUCUACUACAUGAUUAGGCAUGCUGUUCUUAACUUGUUCAGCUCCAACAAUGUCUGAAACCAUGAAAACGUCUGUCUGUUGGUGAUAAUCAGACGCGAUAUCAACUGAAUGGGAUUGAACCAUAAUGGACUCAUCAAAUAGAACGCUAUUCUUAUCUUUCUCCGUCUCCAAAGCAUAAGCUCCAACAAAGAUACUUUGAUCUGAGAUUUCUCCUUGAUGUGUUGAUUUACUCAGUAGAUUACCAGCUAACCAAUCCUCCUCUUUGUGGCUCUUAAGGACAACUGAUUCAGUGGCACCAUUGGACAAGAUAGACUGAGGAUAGCGAUCUGACUCCUGUGUUCUAUGUGAAGAUAACAACUCUUCUUCUGUGCUUUCUCUUCUAUUAACUGGUUGAAGACGUUUUUCUUCCCCGUUGUUUUGUUGAGGCACUUUAUUUUCAUGUCCUAGUUGUCUCUCAGUCACAAUAAGAGAAUCGGCAUAUGGAGUCCAUCGCUUUAAUAAACCUUCUGAUCUAACAUUGGAUGCAGGUGCUACAUCUUCCACAAAGAUCUUUGUCCCCGUGUCAUUAGACCUUGAAUCUGCAUCUUGCAUAAGAAUGUUCUGGAAGAUAUCCCAAUUCUUACUGAUGUUUUCUUCUCUGGUAAGUUCAUCCUUAGUAUCCCCCUUAGAAGUCCCAUUUGAGAUAUUGCCACUUUUGUUUACCUUCUUUCCAUCUCGUUUCUUCUUGUUGCGAGAUGUUGAGUUGUGGUGCCUCUCCCAUGAUCCAACUGCUUCUUCUACCUGCUUUCUGAGGGAACCUGCAUCUUCAUCGGCAGAACUAUCAUCAGUGUUAGUGCUGCUGUCACUUUGCUCAUUUCUAUUCGAAGCUAUGUAGUUUAUGUUGCGAUAACAACUUUUCUUGAUGAACUUUUCCCAUGCUUCUUGUUCUCAAGGUUGUCGAUAGGCAGCUGCCUUUUCUUUUCAUCCUCGUAGUCAUCAGAAUCACUGUUAGAGGCUGAAUUGUUGCAAUCAUGUCUAUCAUCUUCUGUUGAAUUAUUAGGUCCUCUCCCAUUUGAAUAUUUCUUAUUGUUCUUGGAAGGUGGUUUAUUCUUCCAAUUAUAAUCUGAUUCAUGAACAGGACCUCGACUAGAAUCUUCCACAUUUGCAGGCCAUAGCAUUCCAGGAUAGUAAGUUGGAGUAACCUGCAUGCCUGAAAACAUGUACCCUGGAUAUGGUGGCACUUGUUGAAAUGCAGGAUUUUGAAAAUUUUGCAUGUAAGGUGGUAGAUUGUUUUGCCAUAUUCCUUGUGAUUUUCCAUCUGUAGAGUUCAUUUGGAUUGGUGGAGGUAAGCCAUUUUCUGCAAUUACACAUACAAAAGCAGCAGAGUUUAGCCAUCAUACAAGCAAGAGGGCGCAAAAAAUUGAAUAUAAACAAUGUGAAAAGACUCAGUAGUCAAAAAUUUAAAAUAGGAGCAUCUGCUGUUCAAGAAGAAGAUUAUUAGUGUAUAAUAAAGUAAUGUCAUAUUCAUGGCAGACAUGAAUGAAUGAUGUCAUCAUGGAAGCUAUAUACCAAGAAGUUACAAGUGAAACAAACAAGAAGACAAUAUAGGUAUGGAAAAUAUUGACGUGUACCUAGAUUAGUGUCUAAACUUCCAUGACUUAUGGUAUCAGAUGUCGAAGCAUCAAUAGAACCAUUCUGUUUUCUGCUGGAGAUACCGAUGUUUUGAUUGUUCAUCAUGAUAUCUUGAGUAACAUCACUAUGUUCAGCAGCAAGCAUGAUUCCAGACCUCCCAAAAUAUGAAAAUUCAGAAGGAGCGUAGGCCUGAAGAGCUGCCACUUCAUCCAUCCAGAUUCCGUCAUCUCUCUUUUUGUUACACAGCUUCAUAAAUUUAAUGCAUGCUUCCCUAGAUACAGGCAGAAGUAUAUUUCAGUACUCAUCGACUAUUGGGAAAAGGUACAGAUAGUGUUUUCAAAAUUCACUGGCACACACUAAAUUGGAAAUAGUAUGACAUGGUUAAUUAGAGAGUACGAGCAAAGAACAGAAGCAAGCUUGCUGAAGCAGUAUUUUAGUUCCCAAAAUACUGUAUAACCCUGUAUAUCUACAUGCCACUUGUGGCUGAAUUCAAAUCCUACCUUA
rnacentral:lncRNA from 1 species